rnacentral:lncRNA from 1 species
UGACCCGCUCCCGCCCCAGGCAAAGCCCGGACCAGGAAGGUUCUCGGAGGGGACAGCAGGGUCUUUUCGCACAGUUGAAGGCACAGAAGUGGGGAUGGAGAUAAAAAGCCCCCUGGGUCCCCCUGUCGCCUGAGGCCUGAGACCACGUGGCCGUCCCCAAGGAUGUCCGACUGUUGCCUUAGUUCCUGAU